ACUUUAAUAAUUUAAAUAAAAUAUUGGUCUUGUAAACCAAAAAUAAGUAAUACUUUUAAAGUA
rnacentral:tRNA from 1 species